rnacentral:rRNA from 1 species
AGAAUCAACGCUGGCGGCGUGCCUAACACAUGCAAGUCGCACGAGAAAGGGGCUUCGGCCCUGAGGUAAAGUGGCGCACGGGUGAGUAACACGUGAAUAAUCUACCUCCGAGUGGGGAAUAACUGAGAGAAAUCUUGGCUAAUACCGCAUAAUACCCACGGGUCAAAGCAGUAAUGCGCUUGGAGAGGAGUUCGCGGCAGAUUAGCUAGUUGGCGGGGUAAUGGCCCACCAAGGCGAUGAUCUGUA